UUCAUCAUAUAUGACCACAAUUUACUUUUUCUUUUUUUAAUUUUUAAUUUUUUACGUUUUUAUAAAAUUAAAACCAUAAAAUCAAGAAAAGAAAAGAGUUCGGUUCGGGUCAACUUGGAAUUUAGCGGUUCGUAAUGUAUUUCUUAUUUUCUUUGAAUUAUUUUUAUUUAACGAACAUUUAAAAAUAAUAAAUCUAUAUACUUUAUUUUAUUUUAUUAAAUUAAUUCUUCAAAAUCUUUUGAUUUGUGUUUUCAUUUGUUCCUCCUCUGUCUUUCUCAAUUAAUAAAUUCCUCUUUUUCUUUUUUUACUAUUAUUUGUUUCUCCGGUUUAAUUUGGUUUACUAAGUCCAUUCUUUCUUAACUUGAAUUCUUCCGACCUAUUUGAAUUUCAAUCAAUAAUUUAAUUAAUUCAAAUUAAUUGAGGGGAAAUUCCAGGCAAUUGGAGAUUGCAUGUGUAUACCAAAUUGAGCCCCUUUUUGUUUCUACAAAGUUUUUUCUUUUCUGUUUUUUGUUUUCAU
rnacentral:lncRNA from 1 species